UCUAACCUAAGAGUUUGAUCCUGGCUCAGAACGAACGCUGGCGGCAUGCCUAACACAUGCAAGUCGAACGCUAUCUU
rnacentral:rRNA from 2 species